CAAAACUUUCAACAAUGGAUCUCUUGGUUCCGGCAUCGAUGAAGAACGCAGCGAACUGCGAUAAGUAAUGUGAAUUGCAGAAUUCAGUGAAUCAUCGAGUCUUUGAACGCACAUUGCGCCCCCUGGCAUUCCGGGGGGCAUGCCUGUCCGAGCGUCAUU
rnacentral:rRNA from 1 species